rnacentral:rRNA from 1 species
GUGCCAGCAGCCGCGGUAAUACGAAGGGGGCUAGCGUUGCUCGGAAUCACUGGGCGUAAAGGGCGCGUAGGCGGCCGAUCAAGUCAGGGGUGAAAGCCUGUGGCUCAACCACAGAAUUGCCUUUGAUACUGUUUGGCUCGAGACCGGAAGAGGUUGGUGGAACUGCGAGUGUAGAGGUGAAAUUCGUAGAUAUUCGCAAGAACACCAGUGGCGAAGGCGGCCAACUGGUCCGGUUCUGACGCUGAGGCGCGAAAGCGUGGGGAGCAAACAGGAUUAGAUACCCUCGUAGUCC